CAGAGGUCCCAAGCGUUGUUCGGAUUCACUGGGCGUAAAGGGUGCGUAGGUGGUAAGGCAAGUCAGGUGUGAAAUCUCCGGGCUCAACCCGGAAAUGGCAUUCGAAACUACCUUGCUAGAGGAUUUGAGGGGGGACUGGAAUACUUGGUGUAGCAGUGAAAUGCGUAGAUAUCAAGUGGAACACCAGUGGCGAAGGCGAGUCCCUGGAAAAUUCCUGACACUGAGGCACGAAAGCUAGGGGAGCAAACAGGAUUAGAUACCCUGGUAGUCCUAGCCCUAAACGGUGCUUGCUUGCUGUAAGAGGAAUCGACCCCUCUUGUGGCGGAGCUAACGCGUUAAGCAAGCCGCCUGGGAAGUACGGUCGCAAGAAUUA
rnacentral:rRNA from 1 species